AAUUUGAUGAUUAUAAAGUAUUUGAGGGGGUUACUAAUGAUUUUGACUUGAAAAAAGAUUUAUUGUAUUUAGGGAUAAAAUCAUAAUUUUAUCAAAUUUUGAUUCGGAAGCCUCAAGAGCAAGAACACAAGAUUUGUAAUCUAUUGGAGGUAAUUUUAAUAUUUUUGAAUAUGUAUUUUGAAAGAAAAUCAUAUUUAUAUAUUUGAGUCGACCUCAUGAGUCGACUCAUGGCAAAA
rnacentral:lncRNA from 1 species